rnacentral:rRNA from 1 species
GAUGCCGCUGGCGGCGUGCCAAAUACAUGCAAGUCGAGCGAGCGGCGGACGGGUGAGUAAUGUCUGGGAAACUGCCUGAUGGAGGGGGAUAACUACUGGAAAAGGUAGCUAAUACCGCAUACCAUCAGAUGUGCCCAGAUGGGAUUAGCUAGUAGGUGGGGUAAUGGCUCACCUAGGCGACGAUCCCUAGCUGGGCUGCGAGGAUGACCAGCCACACUGGAACUGAGACACGGUCCAGACUCCUACGGGAGGCAGCAGUGGGGAAGAUUGCACAAUGGGUGCAAGCCUGAUGCAGUCAUGCCGCGUGUAUGAAGAAGUCCUUCGGGUUGUAAAGUACUUUCAGCGGGGAGGCGUUACCCGCAGAAGAAGCACCGGCUAACUCCGUGCCAGCCGCCGCGGUAAUUC